AUUCAGCUGACGAUUUCUAUAUAGGACGAAACGCGCGUCCUGGGU
rfam:Schistosoma rodhaini strain Burundi genome assembly, scaffold: SROB_scaffold0000604